UCUCCGCUUGCGCGGGCAGUUUCUCUAGAGUCCCCGGCAUUACCCGCUGGCAACUAGAAAUAGGGGUUGCGCUCGUUAUGGGACUUGACCCGACACCUCACAGCACGAGCUGACGACAGCCAUGCAGCACCUGUGUUCCCGCCAGCCGAACUGAAGGAUGCCGUCUCUGAGAUCCGCGACCCCCAUGUCAAGGGCUGGUAAGGUUCUUCGCGUUGCGUCGAAUUAAACCACAUGCUCCACCGCUUGUGCGGGCCCCCGUCAAUUCCUUUGAGUUUCGGUCUUGCGACCGUACUCCCCAGGCGGAGUGUUUCACGCGUUAGCUGGGCCCCUGAUCCACGUAGACCAAGGGCGAACACUCAUCGUUUACGGCAUGGACUAC
rnacentral:misc_RNA from 1 species